rnacentral:rRNA from 1 species
UACGAAGGGUGCAAGCGUUAAUCGGAAUUACUGGGCGUAAAGGGUGCGUAGGCGGCCAACUAAGUCGGAUGUGAAAUCCCCAGGCUCAACCUGGGAACUGCAUCCGAUACUGGAUGGCUUGAAUUCGGGAGAGGGAUGCAGAAUUCCAGGUGUAGCGGUGAAAUGCGUAGAUAUCUGGAGGAAUACCGGUGGCGAAGGCGGCAUCCUGGACCGACAUUGACGCUGAGGAGCGAAAGCUAGGGGAGCAAACGGG